UACGUAGGGUGCAAGCGUUAUUCGGAAUUACUGGGCGUAAAGGGUGCGCAGGCGGUUUGGCAAGUCAGAUGUGAAAUCCCCGGGCUUAACCUGGGAAUUGCAUUUGUGACUGUACGGCUAGAGUGUGUCAGAGGGGGGUAGAAUUCCACGUGUAGCAGUGAAAUGCGUAGAGAUGUGGAGGAAUACCGAUGGCGAAGGCAGCCCCCUGGGAUAACACUGACGCUCAUGCACGAAAGCGUGGGGAGCAAACAGG
rnacentral:rRNA from 1 species